rnacentral:rRNA from 1 species
AUGGACAACAACAGCAGCAGGAGCAGCAUGGCCAAGCCCAUGGAAGCCGUCCGUUCCGGGAGCGUCCUCUCCAAUGUGGUCACCGUCAUGCUGCUCCUCUCCUUGGGCUUCGUCUUCGGCAUGGUGUACAACGCCAACUUCCAGGAAUCCCAUCUCACGCCAUUCCUGCAGCCGCUGCCUUCUCUCCUACGGCCAUCGCCAACUCCGGUGGUAGCGUGCGGCGUCGGCCCACCGUCGCCCUCUCCCACUUCGCCGCAGUCCCCGCCACCGGCGCGAAUGGGGUUCGCCGACUUCCUCGCGCCGAGUGGCGGCGGCCUCAUGCACAACAUGACCGACGAGGAGCUGUUCUGGAGGGCGUCCAUGGUGCCCAGGGUCGCCCUCGUGCCGCGGCGCAUCGUGCCCAAGGUGGCCUUCCUGUUCCUGGUCACCGGGAACCUGCCGCUGCGGCCGUUGUGGGAGAAGUUCUUCGCCGGGCACGAGGGGCUCUACUCCAUCUACGUCCACGCCAGCCCCGCCUACACCGGCUCGCCGCCGGCCGACUCCGUCUUCUACGGCCGCAUGAUCCCAAGCCAGAACACGAGCUGGGGCAACAUGAACCUGGUCGAUGCCGAGCGGCGGCUGCUGGGGACGGCGUUGCUGGACCUCGGUAAUGCACGGUUCGCGCUGCUGUCGGAGACGUGCAUCCCUCUCCUCUCCUUCCCGGCUGCCCACGCCUUCCUCACCGGCGCCAACGCCAGCUUCAUCGACAGCUUCCCCACCCGUGCGCGGCAUGCGCCCUUUUUCCUCCAGCGCAACAUCAGCCGCGCGCAGUGGCGUAAGGGGUCGCAGUGGUUCGAGAUGGACCGGGAGCUCGCCGUGGACGUCAUCGCCGAGGAGCGGUACAUGGCCGUGUUUCGCGGCGACCACGGCAUCGCCAACAUGUUGGAGCACUACAUGCCGACGCUGGUGACCCUGCUGGGCUGGGGCACGCGCGCCGCCAACCGGACCCUCACGUACACCGACUGGCCGAGACCGGGCCCGCACCCGGCGAGCUACGGCGUCAGGGACGUCACACCAGAGCUGCUGGAGGGGAUGAGGCGAGGGAACGGGGAGUGCGGCUACAGCGCCGGCAAGGCGGUUGAGUUCUGCUUCAUGUUCGCGCGCAAGUUCUCCGGGGAUGCGCUCGGCAAGUUGCUUGAGCUCGCUCCUAAGGUCAUGGGGUUCGGCUGA